CGCUGGCGGCAGGCCUAACACAUGCAAGUCGAGCGCUACCUUCGGGUGGAGCGGCGGACGGGUUAGUAACGCGUGGGAACAUACCCUUUUCUACGGAAUAGCCUCGGGAAACUGAGAGUAAUACCGUAUAAGCCCUUCGGGGGAAAGAUUUAUCGGGAAAGGAUUGGCCCGCGUUAGAUUAGAUAGUUGGUGGGGUAAUGGCCUACCAAGUCUACGAUCUAUAGCUGGUUUUAGAGGAUGAUCAGCAACACUGGGACUGAGACACGGCCCAGACUCCUACGGGAGGCAGCAGUGGGGAAUCUUAGACAAUGGGCGAAAGCCUGAUCUAGCCAUGCCGCGUGAGUGAUGAAGGUCUUAGGAUCGUAAAGCUCUUUCGCUAGGGAUGAUAAUGACAGUACCUAGUAAAGAAGCCCCGGCUAACUCCGUGCCAGCAGCCGCGGUAAUACGGAGGGGGCUAGCGUUGUUCGGAAUUACUGGGCGUAAAGCGUACGUAGGCGGAUCAGAAAGUAUGGGGUGAAAUCCCAGGGCUCAACCCUGGAACUGCCUCAUAAACUCCUGGUCUUGAGUUCGAGAGAGGUGAGUGGAAUUGCGAGUGUAGAGGUGAAAUUCGUAGAUAUUCGCAGGAACACCAGUGGCGAAGGCGGCUCACUGGCUCGAUACUGACGCUGAGGUACGAAAGUGUGGGGAGCAAACAGGAUUAGAUACCCUGGUAGUCCACACCGUAAACGAUGAAUGCCAGACGUCGGGCAGUAUACUGUUCGGUGUCACACCUAACGGAUUAAGC
rnacentral:rRNA from 1 species